rnacentral:lncRNA from 1 species
UGCUUUUGUGGAGGGACGGAGUAUGAUUGAGAAUAUUCACUUGGCACAAGAGCUUUUGAGAAAAUACAAUCGCAAGAGAAUUGCUCCUAGAUGCCUUUUCAAAAUUGACCUUAGAAAGGCCUAUGAUUCCAUAAAUUGGAAUUUCCUUGAAAAAGUCAUUGAAGGAUUGGGGUUCCCCGCUACUUUUGUUGGUUGGAUUAUGGAGUGUGUGACAACUCCAUCUUAUUCCAUUGCUCUUAAUGGUAACCUUCAUGGGUUUUUCAAAGGAAAGAAAGGUCUACGCCAAGGUGACCCGUUAUCUCCUUACUUGUUUAUUCUAUGCCUUGAAUACUUCUCUAGAAUGGUUAAUGUGGCUACAAGCGAUAGUGAUUUCAAUUUUCAUCCUAAAUGUGCACACCUAAAGAUUUCACACUUGGCUUUUGCGGAUGAUUUGAUGCUUUUUGCAAGAGGGGAUGUGAUGUCGGUGGAUAUCUUAAUAAAGUGUCUUUCAACUUUUGGUGCCAUGUCGGGUCUCAAUAUAAAUGUUGGGAAAUCUUGUCUCUACACAGCGGGUAUUCAUGGUCAAGAAUUGGAGGAUAUCCUUGCACUUACUAAUCUUCCAGUUGGUACCAUGCCAUUUCGGUAUUUGGGCAUCCCACUUGCGGCUGAAAAACUGAAAGUGAGUUCUUAUGAUUCUUUCACCAAUAAAAUUUCUACUUAUAUUGGUGCAUGGUCGACUUCUUCUUUGUCAUAUGUGGGUAGAGCAGAAUUUGUAAGAGCCGUUCUACAAGGAGUGGAAUGUUUCUGGUUAUCCAUUUUCCCCAUCCCGGCUACGGUUACUUCAAAGAUUAUUAGUCUUUGCCGAAGGUUCCUAUGGGGAUCCAAAAAACCGUUGGUUGCUUGGAAUCAAAUUUGCCUACCUAAGCAUGAGGGUGGGCUUGGUUUUAGAGAUAUCAAAAGUUGGAAUGCCGCACUCCUUUCUAAAACUCUUUGGAACAUUCAUAGCAAAAAGGAUUCUUUAUGGAUUAAAUGGAUAAAUGAAGUACAUCUUCGAGGCUCGGACAUUUGGAAGUAUAAAGUGAGAAAAGGUGAUUCUCCACUACUUAAAAGGCUUCUGGAAAUAAGAGACAGUAUUGUUGAACCCCAAAAUGAACUUCAAACUGGAAUGGACAGAUUAUUCAGCUGGACAGAAUCUGGGAUUUUUAGCACAAAAACUGCCUAUGAGUUCUUCAGACCGAAGGGAGUUAAAACUGCAUGGGCUACCUCUGUUUGGGACGGUUCCAUCAUACCUAAACAUGCCUUCAUCCUAUGGUUAGCUGUUCGGGGUAAACUACAGACAAAGGACAGAUUAUGGUAUCUCCAGAUCGACCGAAAGUGCCCAUUCUGUGCACUCACGGAUGAAUCUACCCAGCACCUAUUCUUUUCAUGCCGAUUUUGUAGAGAAGUUUGGGAUCAUAUCCGGGAUUGGUUGGCUAUUCGGCGUAGCAUGUCCACCUUGUUGAGCUCAUUAAAAUGGAUGAAAAAGGAAGCUCGAGGUAAGAGUUGGCCUAGUAGAGCAAAACGUAUUGCACUUGCAACAACCGUGUACUACAUUUGGAUGGAAAGGAAUAAAUGUAUUUUUGAAGGUAUCAAGCCGCAAGUUGAAUCCAUUGUUAGACGAAUUAAAACAUACAUAUACAAAGCGAUGUUUACUUUGUAUCCGUAUGUUUUGAUUCACUUCGAAUCUUUACUUGCAGGGCUUUAAACCUUUGUUGGCACAUCUCUUUUCAUUUGCUCGCUCCCGGGUAUGCCCGGAGUAANAAAAAAAAAGACAAAUGAAACAUGAAUAUUCACAUUUUCUCCGGCAGCAAGAAUCACCAAUUUACCAUCUUCAGCAGUUUUUUUGCUACCGACAUUGGUGCUUCAAGGUAAUAACAACCUUUUGCAGUCAUUGUCUGAAAGCAUCGGAAGAUAGUGUUUAAUGACCAACAUGAAUGUACCUUUCUUGGUCCCGUUCCAUUUUCCAGUUUCCAUCUGAUUAAACUCAAGAAUUGUGUAUGCAAGUCGAAAUCAAAAUAAUAAAGUCACGCUUUCUAUAAGCAAAAUGCAUUCAGAGAAGCUAGGAGAUCAACAGUAUGUAUUGAUUUUAAAAUCUGAAAAUGCCUUCAUGUAAAUUAUGUUAGCUUCCAAAAAGAUAUGAGAAAGCACAUCAAAGAUUCAAGUUUAUGCAAUAGAAGACUUUACGCAGUCAAUUCUAAACUGUUAAUUUUUAGCAAGUCUCGACAUCAACAGUUGAUACGUCAAUGUUUCCUUAUCCAGGAUCCAUUUGCUCUAGUUAGAGAGGUCGACCAACUUGUUACAGCUCGAUUAGGUCGGGUACCUCAGCUGCAGUUUGUUUCCUUUAAGAAAAUAUUCAAAUGUAAAAACCAAAAGAUAGAGAGAGAUAUCACUACAUAAAGGCAAAAAACAUAAAUAUAAUCUGCCAAAACAAAAGAUAACUUCAAGAAAAGAAACUAAUUGCUAAGGCUAAUUAUUCCCUCAGAGAUCUUUGGACAUCAUACCUUGAGAUGGCAAUAGCUAAAAGUAAUUUCUCCUAAUGUAAGAUUCUGGGGCUAUUUAGUAGAUCUAUGGCAGGUAAGGAAGAACUAAAGAGAAAGUUUAGCCAGCUUCAAUAACCAAUGGAGUGGGUAAAUUACUGGAGGUUCCAAACCCCAAUUUUUUUGGAAAUUCUACAAUAUAGAGCUCAGAACAAAGCUAAGAGCAUAAUCAUUUGAACAUAUCAACCUUUAAAACUAACUGUGGUAUAGCCAUAGGAUUUGAAUAAGCCUUACGAGUCCAAUGAUAUACACUGUGGCAAUAAUAAAGAAUUUUUUUAAAUGGGAAAAAAAAAACUUUCCAAGCUUUCUUAAUUGCAUUGUUUUAGAUUACAAUGAAUUGUGAGAGUGACAAAGCUAAAACCCUGUUGGAGAUAAUAUAAUGCUCGAAAACCACGUACCUGAUACAAACAUAAGAGAGCGAUUACCAAAUAUGUGAUACUGCUUACGGCCUUUUCCAGCUGCAGUUUCAGGAAUGCUCAAAUGAGAGUGCUCUGCUGCAUCAGCUUUGUGCUGAUAGGAAUAGAAGCCUCAAUUCCCAUGUCCUAACUUACCUAUAAAAACAUUAUAGCAGAAUGAUAUCAGCUUCAGGCACAGAAACUACAUUCAGAAGCAGCAAUUUAUUAAGAAGUUCGUUCAAAUAUGCACAAGAACUCCACAGUACAAGGUCCA